rnacentral:rRNA from 1 species
UAGGGAAUCUUCGGCAAUGGGGGGAACCCUGACCGAGCAACGCCGCGUGAGUGAAGAAGGUUUUCGGAUCGAAAAGCUCUGUUGUUAAGGAAGAACGAGUGUGAGAAUGGAAAGUUCAUGCUGUGACGGUACUUAACCAGAAAGGGACGGCUAACUACGUGCCAGCAGCCGCGGUAAUACGUAGGUCCCGAGCGUUGUCCGGAUUUAUUGGGCGUAAAGCGAGCGCAGGCGGUUAGAAAAGUCUGAAGUGAAAGGCAGUGGCUCAACCAUUGUAGGCUUUGGAAACUGUUUAACUUGAGUGCAGAAGGGGAGAGUGGAAUUCCAUGUGUAGCGGUGAAAUGCGUAGAUAUAUGGAGGAACACCGGUGGCGAAAGCGGCUCUCUGGUCUGUAACUGACGCUGAGGCUCGAAAGCGUGGGGAGCGAACAGG